AAGACCUCAAAUCAGGUGGGACUACCCGCUGAACUUAAGCAUAUC
rnacentral:rRNA from 9 species